AAUAGCAGCACUUGCGGUUGCAACAAGACAAACUCAUAGCAACACUUGCUGAUGACAUAGAGAUCAUCAGUACUGCUGCUGCUGCUGCUGCUGCUGCUGCUGCUGCUGCUGCUGCUGCUGCUGCUGCUGCUGCUGCUGCUGCUGCUGCUGCUGCUGCUAUU
rnacentral:sRNA from 1 species